UUCUAAUGGAAUCCAGCUUGAAUGCAAGUCAAGAGCAGCUAAGUGAGCAAAGAACAGAAACAGUUCUCCCAGUCCAGUAGAAAAUCACAGACAGAGCUGAAGCCACUGAGAGAACGCAUUAUAGAUUCUCAUGAAGAAAUUAGUGAUUACAAGCUUCAGAUGGCAUUACCAAAGGAAGCUGAACACGAGACAAAACAAGACAAGUUUUGGGGCUUCAAAAGCUCAUCACCAACCUGGAAUCAAAUGUGGUGAACCUCAGAAAGGGGAAGACACUCAGAGCUUAUAUUCCUGAACUUUCACUUCCAGCUUGUCCUGCAUUACAUUGUGAAACGUGGUCAACUGUUAUUGCAUACUUCUGUGAACUUUUAACACUUCAAAUGGAUUAGAGUGUCUUAUUUUGAUUACAUCCAUAUUGUUCACUGUGAUAAGAUUAGGUCCUUAGUCAUUAAAAAGAAAUGUUUGGCUGAUG